GAGCUUGCUCUUCUGGAUGAGUUGCGAACGGGUGAGUAACGCGUAGGUAACCUGCCUGGUAGCGGGGGAUAACUAUUGGAAACGAUAGCUAAUACCGCAUAACAGUAGAUGUUGCAUGACAUUUGCUUAAAAGGUGCAAUUGCAUCACUACCAGAUGGACCUGCGUUGUAUUAGCUAGUUGGUGGGGUAACGGCUCACCAAGGCGACGAUACAUAGCCGACCUGAGAGGGUGAUCGGCCACACUGGGACUGAGACACGGCCCAGACUCCUACGGGAGGCAGCAGUAGGGAAUCUUCGGCAAUGGACGGAAGUCUGACCGAGCAACGCCGCGUGAGUGAAGAAGGUUUUCGGAUCGUAAAGCUCUGUUGUAAGAGAAGAACGAGUGUGAGAGUGGAAAGUUCACACUGUGACGGUAUCUUACCAGAAAGGGACGGCUAACUACGUGCCAGCAGCCGCGGUAAUACGUAGGUCCCGAGCGUUGUCCGGAUUUAUUGGGCGUAAAGCGAGCGCAGGCGGUUAGAUAAGUCUGAAGUUAAAGGCUGUGGCUUAACCAUAGUACGCUUUGGAAACUGUUUAACUUGAGUGCAAGAGGGGAGAGUGGAAUUCCAUGUGUAGCGGUGAAAUGCGUAGAUAUAUGGAGGAACACCGGUGGCGAA
rnacentral:rRNA from 1 species